rnacentral:pre_miRNA from 1 species
AUUAUAAACAUUUUUGGAUACGCCAAUAAUGGAAAGUUGGGUAUUUCUAUUAUCGGCCUAUCAGCACUUUGAUCAUGAAUUACAGCUUUCAUAAAGUGAGCAAGCAACUUUCCAUUAUUGGCGUAUCCAAAAAUGUUUAUU